rnacentral:rRNA from 16 species
NNNCUAUAGGGCGAAUUCACCAAGGGUUGGAUUGUUCACCCACCAAUAGGGAACGUGAGCUGGGUUUAGACCGUCGUGAGCCAGGUU